UGAUAUGAAGAUCCCUAGAAUCCUCGUAAGGAGAAUCUGAUGAGGAUCCUCAUCUGGCAAGUGGAAUCAACAUUCUGACAAGUGGCCCCCUGCUUGCCAAGUUGGUACUAUGUGCCACUGAAAGAAAUUAUAAAAAGUUUCUUUGGUUGAAUAUACCAAAUUAAAUGCAUCAAGAAGAAGAAUAAAUUUUUUUCGUCAAACAAUAAAUUUUAUUAAAUUAGAUGUUAGAUUAGACAUCGAUGGAGUUUGAAUCCACAUCGUCAUGCAAGAGCUGAACAUUUUUCCACCACUGUUGUAAGGAGUCACUUGCAAUAAGAAGAAUAACUAAGGAACAAACUUUGAGAGAAAGCUUAACUCUAUAAUUACAUGUCGGCGUUUAAUGGGAUAUACAAGCUUACAUGUAUGUUAUAUCAAUAAAUUGAUAAAAUAUUUAACAAGCAUAGACAAUAUGAAUUAACGGAUGGUGGUAAAGCUUAGAGACAUUAAUGAUUAAUUUCUAGAAUUUAGGGAUCAAAAUGAGGAACAAGGUCAAAUUGUAAAAAGGAUAAUGUUAGGGAGACCAAAUUUUCUAAAUUAAAUUUCAAACCAAAUGAUGUGAUCAUAGAUGAUUAGGUUAUUAACUAAGUGUCGAUUAAUAUACUUGUUUUUUUAUUGGUGACACAUCAUUUGAUUUAUAAAUUUAGUUUAAAAUUUUGGUCUCCUAUCAUUACCCUUUCAAAAAUCUUCCUUGACAAAAUCCCUUCCUAUUUCAUAAAACAAUGAUAUCAUAACCAUUUCAUUGCAAUGAAAACCAAUCAUAUGUUAACAAAACAUUUGAAGCAUUGAACACACACAACUCAACCCAACUACACACAAUUAUUAUUCACCCACUAUCACAUCCUGGCCAGGGGUGGACCACUUCCCGGGCUCGCUCUACCACCGUA
rnacentral:lncRNA from 1 species